AAAUUUGAAAUCUGGCGCAAGCCCGAGUUGUAAUUUGUAGAGGAUGCUUCUGGCCAGCGGCCGUUCUAAGUUCCUUGGAACAGGACGUCAUAGAGGGUGAGAAUCCCGUAUGUGACCGGCGCGCAGCCUUUACGUAGCUCCUUCGACGAGUCGAGUUGUUUGGGAAUGCAGCUCUAAAUGGGAGGUAAAUUUCUUCUAAAGCUAAAUACCGGCCAGAGACCGAUAGCGCACAAGUAGAGUGAUCGAAAGAUGAAAAGCACUUUGGAAAGAGAGUUAAAAAGCACGUGAAAUUGUUGAAAGGGAAGCGCUUGCAACCAGACUUCGUAGCGGUGUUCCGCCGGUCUUCUGACCGGUCUACUCAUCGUCGCGAGGCCAACAUCGUCUGGGACCGCUGGAUAAGACCUAAGGAAUGUAGCUUCCCUCGGGAAGUGUUAUAGCCUGUGGUGAUGCAGCGCGUCUCGGGCGAGGUCCGCGCUUCGGCAAGGAUGUUGGCGUAAUGGUUGUCAGCGGCCCGUCUUGAAACACGGACCAAGGAGUCUAACAUCUAUGCGAGUGUUCGGGUGUCAAACCCCUACGCGUAAUGAAAGUGAACGGAGGUGGGAAGCGCAAGCUGCACCAUCGACCGAUCCUGAUGUCCUCGGAUGGAUUUGAGUAAGAGCAUAGCUGUUGGGACCCGAAAGAUGGUGAACUAUGCCUGAAUAGGGUGAAGCCAGAGGAAACUCUGGU
rnacentral:rRNA from 1 species